rnacentral:lncRNA from 14 species
UGGGUCCACGCAGUGGUAUCUGUGCUGAUGGCAAACCCUUUGUGCUUGCAGAAGACUACCUGCAAGGUGAUGAUGCCUACGUGGAGCCUAUAUCUCUGGAUUACUACAACAGUGCCACGUUCUUCACACCACCCAAUGAAAAAGAGGAGGAUUCCCAUUCCUACCAAAACGUCAUCAUUGGAGCACCUCAGGGCUUGGACGUGGGUAGGUGCUGCUGUUGUGGUUCAUGUAUGUCACACAAAGCUAUCUGGGAGUGCAGAGGGGGGGAUGACCUGCUCAGCUCAGGAAACCCUCCCCAUUCA